rnacentral:rRNA from 1 species
AAUGCGAUAAGUAAUGUGAAUUGCAGAAUUCAGUGAAUCAUCGAAUCUUUGAACGCACCUUGCGCUCCUUGGUAUUCCGAGGAGCAUGCCUGUUUGAGUGUCUUGA